rnacentral:lncRNA from 1 species
AACUCUCAAAAACCAGCGUUCAUCAGACUCCCACUGCCAUGAUUAAAGAUGCUGGAGAAGACAUCCUGAUGAACUGCAACCAUUCAAACACUGAUUUUACAAUGAUCCAGUGGUACAAACAUUCUGCUGGGGAAAAUGAUAUGGCUUUAAUUGGUUAUGUACGACUCAGUUCUAGCGUUGUUGAAGAUAAAUUCAAAGACUCUUAUAAUGUGAGCGGUCAUGGAUCAAGUCUGGCACAUCUUCAUAUUCCAAAGAGUCGAUCCGAGAACAGCGCAGUGUAUUUCUGUGCAGCCAGUAGAGCACAGUGCUACACAAACCCUCCGUCUUUAACAAAAACCUUCUCUGACGCAGCCAGUUACAGAAAUUACCACUUGAACCACAUUGUGAAUGACUGAUAGACAGCUGGUGCACCAUGAGACAGGUAGAUUCUUAGUUUAUCCAUUAGGGUGCAGUGUUUUUCCAGAUCUGUUGAUUCUGAAUUUGAUGUUGUUGAAUUUAAUCAAUUCUAUAUACGUGUAGUUUAUAUGGUGAAUAUUACUAAUUCAACAUUUUAACAUUUUUAACAGCAACAACAACAAUUCAUGGACUGAAGAGACUGUGUUUUGUUUGGUCUUUAAACAGCAGUAACAUCACAUAAAAUGUAUUUGUUAUUAUUAACACUGCUAUUUAUUACUUCCUUGAGGUGGCAGUGUGUAUUUUACCCCCAGCGGUGCAUAAUGGUAACUGGCAUGAUGGUUUUAAUAUUUAGAACAGGAGGAUAUGACGUUGUUUUUCUGAUAGGAGGACUUAAUCAGAAAGGGAGGAGGGAAUCCUCUGUAUACCAGCAUAGUGAAGAAAACAGCACCAGAAACAAGACUGACUUUAAAAACACAACAUGAUGAUCAUUGUCUGCUGCAUAACCUUGAAUGUUAUACUGGUUUCAGGUUCCUCUCUAAAUGAACUAGUCUACCAGAAUCCAGCCCACACUUUCAACAAACCUGAAGGAGCAGCUAAAAUUGAGUGUUCACACAGUAUUCAAAACUAUGAUACAAUCCUCUGGUACAAGAAAUCAAAGAACAGACAGCUGCAGUUGCUUGGAUACAUGGUGGGAGGCAGUGGAUCUCCAGAGAAGGGAGUGAAUGUGAAGAUAGCAGGGAGUGCAAAUAAAGACCAAAACUGCACAUUAACAAUUGAAGAACUCCAGCUGAACAGCAGUGCAGUGUACUUCUGUGCUGCUAGUUUACACAGUGCUACAUAUCACUGCUCCUCAGUACAAAAACCUCCACAACACAUUUUGUCAUCUCGCUACUACAGCUCACAGCCUCUUGCACCUGUAUGCUUUCCUUUUAUGAGGUGGUGA